ACAGCAGCCGCCGCGGUAAUACGGAGGAUCCAAGCGUUAUCCGGAAUCAUUGGGUUUAAAGGGUCCGUAGGCGGUCUUGUAAGUCAGUUGUGAAAGCCCAUCGCUCAACGGUGGAACGGCCAUUGAUACUGCAGGACUUGAAUUAUUGGGAAGUAACUAGAAUAUGUAGUGUAGCGGUGAAAUGCUUAGAGAUUACAUGGAAUACCAAUUGCGAAGGCAGGUUACUACCAAUUGAUUGACGCUGAUGGACGAAAGCGUGGGUAGCGAACAGGAUUAGAUACCCGCGUAGUCUCUGUCUCUUAUAC
rnacentral:rRNA from 1 species